GGGGCUGCCGAUUGGGUGGCUUCCUUUGCUUCCAACCAUUCGGGUGGACACCUAUAGAUGGGCGAGGCGGAGUUGCCUAGUACUCUAUGAUGUAUUGUUUUUUGAUUUUCUUGACUGUAUUUAUACACAUUUAAUAUGAUACUUCUGUUUUAUUAAAUAAAAGAAAAAGUUGUUGACACCGGUCAUAAAUUGAGAUGGCGAGAGAGAAACACAGCAUUAACUAUUUUUUUUUCAAAAUGAUCCCUAACUUUUUAUCAAAACAUAAAGUUGCCAUUCUAAAUAAGUCACGCCUUCUAUUCAACUUGCAAAAUUGCUAAUAGAAG
rnacentral:lncRNA from 1 species